UGUCCUUAUUUGCCAGCACGUAAUGGUGGGAACUCUAAGGAGACUGCCGGUGACAAACCGGAGGAAGGUGGGGACGACGUCAAGUCAUCAUGGCCCUUAUGACCAGGGCUACACACGUGCUACAAUGGGACGUACAGAGGGUUGCUAAGCCGCGAGGUGGAGCCAAUCCCAGAAAACGUUUCGUAGUCCGGAUCGAAGUCUGCAACUCGACUUCGUGAAGUCGGAAUCGCUAGUAAUCGCGAAUCAGCAUGUCGCGGUGAAUACGUUC
rnacentral:rRNA from 1 species